CGGGAUUUGAUGGAUGGGAGUGCCAGAGGGAAAGUAAUUUCCACACACAUAUUCUAGGUGCUAUGGAUAAGAGGAGGAAAAGGAAAGUUUAACUGGUUCCUCCACGGCUGGUAGAUAUAAUAGAGAAUACAUUUGGAUUAUGUACAAGGGCAAGAGGCCAAAAAGUGUAAGAAAGUAAUUAAACACUGCUGUCUACAGCAAUCCUCACAAGCGUGAUCCUUACCACUGUAACUGAGAGCCUGGAGAGGGAUACUGCUAUAAUGCACAGGGAGCACUUCACAUUACAUUGGUGGGGUUACAUGGUCUAGUCAUUUUAACACUUCCACUGUGUGGAAAGUGGUCCUGGGUGUUACAUGUACAAGUGUAGGUUCAUGUGAGCAGCUUCAUCCUGCUCCACAGGAGACAUGGGUUGGAUUACAACCCAAGCAGACUCAUUAUCCGAGGCAGCAUUAGAACCCAAACACAUUGGUGGGUCCUCAUCCUCACAGGGUAUUUUCAAAUCUUACAGUAUGUAAUAACCAUGGUUUAUACCAGGAAUAAUGCCUCAGUAACAUUGUUAACAUUUGAUCCGGUUAGUUUUGUUUUCACUUUUGCAAUCGAGGGAACAGAGAUAAGACACACAUACCUGCUGCCGUCAUUAUCCACUUGGGCCACGUCUGCCUGAACUGGACAUGAAAGAAGUCAUAUCAUCAGAGAAAAAGACAGCAAGCAGUCAUGGUAGCCGCUUCCACAUUUUCUUCCUCUAUCAUUUAUAACUGUUUAAUGUUUUAAUUGAUCAACUCCCUGCAAUUGUUUAGAAAACCCAAACUAGGACAGGAACAUGGUUGAGUUUGAUCUGGACUGAUGGUCUGUCCCCUGAUCACAUUUCACACCUGUUACCAUGGAUCGGACUAAACUGAGAUGUCUGAAGGCUUGAUGCAGCUGCAUGUCAAGAAUAAUUCAACGUGCACAAAGCUUUACGGUCUCCAUCAAGCUUUCUGUCAGACUCUAUCAGGGAGUGAAGGUCACCACUCUGCCCUGCUUCCUGGCCUCCCUGCAGUCCGACCACGUGUCCUCACUCCAGCUUCCCUCGGAAUCUUCUCUGACUAUGUGGUCGAGGAUCAGAACCACUUCCUGUGUCUCAGUCCCUGAUUGCACAACGCUGAUGAGUUCUUCACUCCAGUGUUGGUCUUUCUGAAAGCCAAUACUGAUACCUAAACCUGCCAUUUUCUGGGACAGUGAAUUAUUUUGUUUUGCUCCAAAAUUAAAUUCAUCUUCCCAAAAAAAACUGUCUUGACUUACAGUCGAGUGAGAGUUUUUUCUGUUUGGCUGCUCUUGAAGGUAUUACAAAUAGAUUUACAGUUGAUUAAACGGUUAAACUGAACAUCAUGCUUGGAGUGAACAUGCUGUUUGAAACAGUUAUAAAUUGACAGGUGUAAAUAUACAAUAAAUGCACCUCAAAGUACAUACAGUACAUACAAUAUAGAUAAAAACAAAACCAUGAUCAAAAUGUAAUUCAUAUCAGAUAAUAGAUUUUUAUCCAACAUAAGAACAGAAAAUUCAUGUAUGACUAUUUUGAUAAUAAAACAAUGAUCCCAGUCAAACAAAAGUGCCAAAUAUUUCCUAAUCUCAACUUCUGAAAUGUAAAAAAGUUUUUAUUUGUUUGAAAUUGCUGUUAUAUGUAUUGGGGUCUUUUGAAUUAAUCAGAUAAACAAGACACCUGAUCUCUUUGAAUAAUGUAUAACUCCUCAACACAGUGAAGGUGCACAAGAGUGUCGCCUAAAUUUACACUAGCAGCUAAAUCAUUAUCAUUUUAUAUGAAAAUAUAACCUAUGAAAGUAAAAUGAAUAAAUGUGUCGGAAAAGAUGUCACUCCAUUCAGGAUACUCCUAUUACUUCAUCAUCCUUUUAAUGGAUCUCCAAAACUCCCCCCCCCCCCACACACACACACAUUUUAUAGACGCAUAUAGAAGUUUCGAGCAUCAAUCGUUCUUUACAGACGGGCCCAUCUGGUGUUUUCACCUCAAGUUAUUAAAUCUCUUCAAAAUGACUAAUAUGCAGCUCAACACUUGCCAACACGUUUGACUCCCUUGACAGACAGCAGCCAAUCAAUAGUCACACCUUAAUAAUCACACCUCUUCUCUGCACUCAUCUCAAAGUGACAACAAUCAGGUUACAUGACAGAAACAAAUAAUGUAUGCUGUCUCUGGUGUGCAGUUUUCCCAUUAAAUAACCAGAGGCUCCAUGAAUAAGAGCAGGUUUCUAAUAAAGAGAAUUUACCACUUUCUUAAUCACGAGCCUACAGAGCCCCAUAGGUGUGAUCAGGUCUAUAUGAUCAAUAUCUCUCUCUCUCUCUCUCUCUCUCUCUCUCUCUCUCUCUCUCUCUCUCUCUCUCUCUCUCUCUCACUCUCUCUCUCUCUCUCUCUCUCUCUCUCUCUCUCUCUCUCUCUCUCUCUCUCUCUCUCUCUCUCUCCCUCCCUCCCUGCCGGCAUCAGUAUGUGACAUAAACCAUGUGACGCUGUUAAGAGCAACAAGACCAAGGAGACAAGAUGCACCGACCAUUUGAGUCAUUUGAGAAUAUUACAAAUUAGCCCACACACAAAGCAACGCUGCCAAUGUGCUAACAGUUUUGUUGGCAAUGUUGCCACAGAUAUCAGGUUGUUAAUUGGUUGAAGUUUGCCAAUGCCAAAUUAAUUUAGCUUUUUAGUAAUCCAUUUUUUAUAAUUUGAUAAUGCUUUUAUAUGGAUUAAUGCAUUUUGUAUUUGGAGUGCAUAAGAGGGGAUGGUAAUAAACCUUCAUUUUCAUUUCAGUGGUUUUGUGACAUGAUGAUUUGGCGAUUUUGGAUUUGCACAUUUCUGUACCUGACACUAAAUGCCUUGAUUUUACACAUUGUAACUGUUGCCACUAUAAUAAUGUAAUAUGUUAUAAAAUUUUCUAAUGUUUAUUUUGUAUUUGUAUAUAUCAUUGCUGUAAUUAGAAAUAAGACUUCUAUUUUGAAGCCUCCGCUGAGCUGCAUGUUUUGAGAAGAACCAUCUAGAGGACACUCGGAGAAGUAACACGAAGAAGAGACACAGAGAAGCAGGCAGAUGGAGUUACACACCUGUCUAACAGUUUGUUAAAUAAGAGAAGAUAAGAGGAUUCCUUUUCAGAACAUGCAGCCAACGAGGUAUUUUGUUUGUUAUUUAUUUUAACUUUAACUGUAAUUAUUGAUACUGUGUUUGCUAGUUAGCUAACGCUGUAUGUUGUGUCUUUUGUUGCCGUGUGUGGCGCAGUUUUCACGGUCUGAUGUGAAGAACAAGACUUUAUUAAAGACCCGUGGAGGAAACCAU